GAUGAACGCUAGCGGCAGGCUUAACACAUGCAAGUCGAGGGGUAUAGUUCUUCGGAGCUAGAGACCGGCGCACGGGUGCGUAACGCGUAUGCAAUCUACCUUUUGCAGAGGGAUAGCCCAGAGAAAUUUGGAUUAAUACCUCAUGGUAUGUGAGAAUGGCAUCAUUUUCACAUUAAAGUCACAACGGCAAAAGAUGAGCAUGCGUCCCAUAGCUAGUUGGUAAGGUAACGGCUUACCAAGGCAACGAUGGGUAGGGGUCCUGAGAGGGAGAUCCCCCACACUGGUACUGAGACACGGACCAGACUCCUACGGGAGGCAGCAGUGAGGAAUAUUGGACAAUGGGCGCAAGCCUGAUCCAGCCAUGCCGCGUGCAGGAUGACGGUCCUAUGGAUUGUAAACUGCUUUUGUACGGGAAGAAACACUGGUUCGUGAACCAGCUUGACGGUACUGUAAGAAUAAGGAUCGGCUAACUCCGUGCCAGCAGCCGCGGUAACAC
rnacentral:rRNA from 1 species